rnacentral:rRNA from 1 species
AGAUUGAACGCUGGCGGCAUGCUUUACACAUGCAAGUCGAACGGUAACAGGGAGCUUGCUCCGCUGACGAGUGGCGAACGGGUGAGUAAUAUAUCGGAACGUACCCAAGAGUGGGGGAUAACGUAGCGAAAGUUACGCUAAUACCGCAUACGAUCCAAGGAUGAAAGCAGGGGACCGCAAGGCCUUGUGCUCCUGGAGCGGCCGAUAUCUGAUUAGCUAGUUGGUGAGGUAAAGGCUCACCAAGGCGACGAUCAGUAGCUGGUCUGAGAGGACGACCAGCCACACUGGAACUGAGACACGGUCCAGACUCCUACGGGAGGCAGCAGUGGGGAAUUUUGGACAAUGGGCGCAAGCCUGAUCCAGCAAUGCCGCGUGAGUGAAGAAGGCCUUCGGGUUGUAAAGCUCUUUUGUCAGGGAAGAAACGGCUGUGGCUAAUAUCCACGGCUAAUGACGGUACCUGAAGAAUAAGCACCGGCUAACUACGUGCCAGCAGCCGCGGUAAUACGUAGGGUGCAAGCGUUAAUCGGAAUUACUGGGCGUAAAGCGUGCGCAGGCGGUUUUGUAAGUUCCUGUCGUGAAAUUCCCCCGGGCUUAACCUGGGAAUGGCGAUGGAGACUGCAAGGCUGGAAUCUGGCAGAGGGGGGUAGAAUUCCACGUGUAGCAGUGAAAUGCGUAGAGAUGUGGAGGAACACCGAUGGCGAAGGCAGCCCCCUGGGCUAAGAUUGACGCUCAUGCACGAAAGCGUGGGGAGCAAACAGGAUUAGAUACCCUGGUAGUCCACGCCCUAAACGAUGUCUACUAGUUGUCGGGUCUUAAUUGACUUGGUAACGCAGCUAACGCGUGAAGUAGACCGCCUGGGGAGUACGGUCGCAAGAUUAAAACUCAAAGGAAUUGACGGGGACCCGCACAAGCGGUGGAUGAUGUGGAUUAAUUCGAUGCAACGCGAAAAACCUUACCUACCCUUGACAUGGCAGGAAUCCCUGAGAGAUCGGGGAGUGCUCGAAAGAGAACCUGCACACAGGUGCUGCAUGGCUGUCGUCAGCUCGUGUCGUGAGAUGUUGGGUUAAGUCCCGCAACGAGCGCAACCCUUGUCAUUAGUUGCUACGAAAGGGCACUCUAAUGAGACUGCCGGUGACAAACCGGAGGAAGGUGGGGGAUGACGUCAAGUCCUCAUGGCCCUUAUGGGGUAGGGCUUCACACGUCAUACAAUGGUACAUACAGAGGGCCGCCAACCCGCGAGGGGGAGCUAAUCCCAGAAAGUGUAUCGUAAUCCGGAUUGUAGUCUGCAACUCGACUGCAUGAAGUUGGAAUCGCUAGUAAUCGCGGAUCAGCAUGUCGCGGUGAAUACGUUCCCGGGUCUUGUACACACCGCCCGUCACACCAUGGGGAGCGGGUUUUACCAGAAGUAGGUAGCUUAACCGUAAGGAGGGCGCUUACCACGGUA